rnacentral:misc_RNA from 1 species
AGCAGCCGCGGUAAUUCCAGCUCCAAUAGCGUAUAUUAAAGUUGUUGCAGUUAAAAAGCUCGUAGUUGAAUUUCGGGAUUGACACAUCGGUCGUGCCUUAAGGGGUAUGAACUGGUGUAGUCAAUUUCUCACCUUCUGGAGAACCGCGAUGCCCUUAAUUGGGUGUCGCGGGGAACCAGGACCUUUACUUUGAAAAAAUUAGAGUGUUUAAAGCAGGCAUUUUGCUUGAAUACAUUAGCAUGGAAUAAUAAAAUAGGACGGCAUGAUUCUAUUUUGUUGGUUUCUAGGAUCACCGUAAUGAUUAAUAGGGAUAGUUGGGGGCAUUAGUAUUCAAUUGUCAGAGGUGAAAUUCUUGGAUUUAUUGAAGACUAACUACUGCGAAAGCAUUUGCCAAGGAUGUUUUCAUUAAUCAAGAACGAAAGUUAGGGGAUCGAAGACGAUCAGAUACCGUCGUAGUCUUAACCAUAAACUAUGCCGACUAGGAAUCAGACGAUGUUAAUUUUUAA